GUUAAUGUAGCUUAAUUAUUAAAGCAAAGCACUGAAAAUGCUUAGAUGGGUAACUAAUACCCCAUAGACA
rnacentral:tRNA from 3 species